rnacentral:rRNA from 1 species
CCCCUAGAUGUUCUGGGCCGCACGCGCGCUACACUGAACAGUUCAACAAGUCUUAACCUUGGCCGAUAGGUCUGGGUAAUCUUUGAACGCUGUUCGUGAUUGGGAUAGACCUUUGCAAUUAUGGGUCUUCAACGAGGAAUUCCUAGUAAACGCAAGUCAUCAGCUUGCAUUGAUUACGUCCCUGCCCUUUGUACACACCGCCCGUCGCACCUACCGAUUGAAUGGUCCGGUGAAAUCUCGGGACGGCGGCUCGGUCGCUUGCGUCCGACUGCUGAAACUUGAUUAAACCAUAUCAUUUAGAGGAAGGUGAAGUCGUAAC